rnacentral:tRNA from 1 species
GCCGGAGGUCCAGAUAGCUGUCCACUCUCACCACGGCAGGAAAUUACAAGCAGAUUUAAGUCGUCAUAAUGAGCAGCGUGGUCCUGAAAAGUCUGGUGUCGACAGUUCGAUUCUGUCCCUCGGCACCA